CCCCCCCCGGUCCCCCGUCCAGACAAGUAUGGAAGUUCUCGGUGGCGGACUGCAGGAGGGCAGCCCUCCCACAACCUGGGAGGAAGGCAGCGGGGCCUCGCGGGCCUGGCAGUCUUCAACAGCCCCUCUUCCUCCAGCUCCAAUACGCUUCCUCCAAAACCCACCUCUGACUCUCACUUGUUGGAUCCCAGGGGUCCAGAUGAGUGACCCCAGCCAAAAGAAAGAAUCUCUUUUUCAAUGGUGCCAGGCAAAUUUCCAACAUUGAAGCUGAUCUCCCCAUCUCUGACUCAUCUCUGUGGGUAGGAGGGAUAAAAUGCCAUGGUGGCCAAGCCCAGGUCACCUGUCCUUUCCUCGACCCAAGGUAGCUUCCCAAAGGAAAACCAAGGUGCUGUUACCGGAACCAGGAGAAGACCAGCACAGAAGAUGCCCCCUCCGCCCAGCCUGUUCCCGUGUCUUCACCAGGUCUCACUUUCCUCAACCCCAAAAGGAGGACUUCUUCCAGGCCCCUUUAUAAGGAUAACUUGCUUGGUUUUCAUCACUCUGUUGUUCCUGAGGAUUUUAAUAUAAUCUACCUAACUGUGCUCAGUCACUCUUAAAAAAAAACAAAACACUAAUGUUUUUCAAUAAAUAGGGAAAGGGGU